GCCCUUGUAGCUCAGGGGUAGAGCGUUGCACUUGUAAUGCAAAGGUCCAUAGUUCAAAUCUGUGCGGGGGCA
rfam:Trichoderma reesei QM6a unplaced genomic scaffold TRIREscaffold_10, whole genome shotgun sequence.